rnacentral:rRNA from 1 species
AGUUCGGUCCCUAUCCGUCGCAGGCGUAGGAAAUUUGAGAAGACCUGUCCUUAGUACGAGAGGACCGGGAUGGACGUACCUCUGGUGUACCAGUUGUCCUGCCAAGGGCAUGGCUGGGUAGCUAUGUGCGGAAUGGAUAAGCGCUGAAAGCAUCUAAGCGCGAAGCCAACUUCAAGAUAAGAUUUCCCACCGCAAGGGUAAGACCCCAGAAAGACUAUCUGGUUGAUAGGUCGAAGGUGUAAGUGCAGCAAUGUA